GGUUUAGGGCAGUUUUGGGGCGGAUUGGGACUAACGGCAAACUGGGGUGAUUUGGGGUGGAUUGGGACUGAUUUGGGGCAAAUAGGGGCAGUUCGGGGCAAUUUUGGGGCAGAUUGGGACUAAUUUGGGGCAUAUCGGGGUGGUUUGGUGCUAUUUGGGGGCAGAUUGGGACUAAUUCGUGGCCUUUUGGGGCUGUUUUGGGGCUAAUUCAGAGCAAUUUGGGGCUGCGAGGGGUGGUUUGGGGCUAAUUCAGAGCGGUUUGGGGCUGAUUGGGGGCGGUUUGGGGCUGAUUCGGGGCGGUUUGGGGCUGAUUCAGGGGGUUUUGGGGCUGAUUCAAGGGGUUUUGGGGGGGGCACUGGGACAAAAUGGUGGCCCCACGUGCUGGCGGCCAUUUUAGGGCCGGGGAAGGGGGGGGGAGGCACAGGGCACACGCGUGUGCCCUCGUGUUGCACGGGGACCCCUCAUUAGUGCUAAUGAGCUAACGGUGCCACCUGUGCCUUCCUCACCGUGCCUCUUUUGGGGUGAAUCCUGCAGUUUUAGGGUCACCUCCGCUGCCUGCCUGCACCCGAAGGGACGCUUCUCUUUGCGGGCGCACCCCGGAUGCAAAAAAUCCGAAUAUUUCACGAUUUAACCUCACUUUCCUCACUCGCACACUGUCUCCUUCGUUCCUCUAAACCCUGCUUAUUUUUGAAUAAUUUUACUACAUUUUUUUAAUACAAAUCUCAGCACUCCCCCUCCCCCCCCAGCAGCAAAAUCUGUGCGUCCUAAAACACUACUUUUUUAUUUUUUCCAAGGGAGAAGCAGCAAUUCGGGGAUUUUGUUCUUUCUGGCUGCGUUUAAAGGGGGGAACUUGUAAAUAUUUAUGGUGCUUAAUCGUGAAAUAAACAUUUAACACAUUUAGGGAGUAGAAAGAUG
rnacentral:lncRNA from 1 species